UGGGAGGCGACGCAUGCCGAAAUCGUGCAGAUUGAAAACGGAACUUGGUAUUUUUCUACCACCGGGACGCCGCUAAUGAUGAUUCGUUACAUGUUGCCUGUAUCGGAUGCUUUCUCACCCGCGAAUUUCUCCCGUAAUAUACCGCGGUAUCCCUGGUUGUACGCUCGCAACUCAUCCUAUCACGAACUGCCCAAUUUAGUUCCACCAUCCGUUGAUGAGUUGAUUCAGCGACUGCGGGAGAAGGGCUUAACAGUAUACAACGGUACGGCCUUCUACAACACCGUGGGUAUACUGGAUGAUGUCUAUCUUCUGGCAAAUUCUACUUACGGCUUCUUCGAUGCGAAUCAGUGGAAGGCGGAUGUAAUGGCAAAUGUUCAACGAAGACGUGUUAUACAGAACUGUAGCGACGCGGGUUUGAAUGGGGUGGAAAUUCAUCUAGGCCAACUCGAACCGGGAAUUGUGACAUCAAGGUUGAAUGGCACCUUUUCGGAGACGGUGGCACUGUCCGCUCCUUUUAUGAUCAACGUGCAGCAGAAGACGCUUGUUUUUGAUCGGAGCUACAUAUUUAGUCCCUUUUGUCAACAAAACCGAUGGUUACUAUCUUAACGUAAGAACAACACUUCUGAAGAACACAACUGGUUUCCAUCUGGUGGACCAACCGCCGCGGAACCCGGCUUACUCGUUUCGGAUGCAUUUGAAUCGACCGUUGAGUGUUCAGCGGCUGCCGCUACUGCCGUACAGCAAGCUUUUGCCAUUGCAAACCCCGUGACAAUGGAUAAUAUCGUUCUUACCAUUUCUUUAACGGAUCGCGAUGACAGUUUACGAACGACCAUAGGGCGCGACGCUUUCAAGUUAAGUUUCGCUCUGUCGUACCCGAAAAUGAAGAGCGGAUUGUAUUGGAAAUUGUGGCGCUAUCCAUCCUACGAUGAACUAAACGGCUUGUUGCAGAGUGUUGCAGAAGUUAAACUUGUCCGCACUUGGACAGUUGCGAUCCCAGUUUCCAAUUAACAUAGUUCAGUGUCCCAUUUAUCGUUUCUGUUUGCAAAGAAACGACGACAUUUCACCGUUUGAAUUUGUUCUUAUGUUAAGUUGCAGUACUUACUAAAAGUUGUGCAAGUCUUCGUAGCGUAUUAACAUUUAUUAUGUUAUUUAUUUGAUAACGGCAAAAGUAAAGUCAAAUAAACCUUUUGCUGAGCAAGUUUUGUACUGAUUUUGCAUUAAAACUUGAUAAAG